UAGCAGUCAUUGUAUUUUAAGUCGUAACUUGAAUAUAACUGCUAUAACAGUUAGAUUACAGCAGUUAUAAUAGUCAUAGUCAAGUACGACUUAAAAUACAAUGAAUGCUAUAGCAGUGA
rnacentral:miRNA from 1 species